UUUUAUAGCCGUUAUAACAAACACGGGUACUGGCUAAAAAAAUGAAAUGGAUUCCAUUAUAAUUUUUUAUAUUUUUACAAUAUUUAAUGUUCUAGAUUGCCGACCUCUCACCUGGGAGGAAAAACUAAACUUACUUCUGAGAUACAGAAGGGCGUUGGACGACAUAAAAGAAACAAGACCCAGUGUAAG